UACGGGGGGAGCAAGCGUUGUUCGGAUUUACUGGCGUAAAGGGCGCGUAGGCGGUCAGCACAAGUCAGUUGUGAAAUCUCCGGGCUUAACUCGGAAAGGUCAACUGAUACUGUGCGACUAGAGUGCGGAAGGGGCAACUGGAAUUCUCGGUGUAGCGGUGAAAUGACGUAGAUAUCGAGAGGAACACCUGCGGCGAAGGCGGGUUGCUGGGCCGACACUGACGCUGAUGCGCGAAAGCCAGGGGAGCGAACAGG
rnacentral:rRNA from 1 species